rnacentral:tRNA from 1 species
GGUGAGUACAGCUCAGUGGUAGAGCACAUGCUUAGCAUGCACAAGGUCCUGGGUUCAAUUCCCAGCACCUCCA